AUUGAACGCUGGCGGCAGGCCUAACACAUGCAAGUCGAACGGUAACAGGAAGAAGCUUGCUUCUUUGCUGACGAGUGGCGGACGGGUGAGUAAUGUCUGGGAAACUGCCUGAUGGAGGGGGAUAACUACUGGAAACGGUAGCUAAUACCGCAUAACGUCGCAAGACCAAAGAGGGGGACCUUCGGGCCUCUUGCCAUCGGAUGUGCCCAGAUGGGAUUAGCUAGUAGGUGGGGUAACGGCUCACCUAGGCGACGAUCCCUAGCUGGUCUGAGAGGAUGACCAGCCACACUGGAACUGAGACACGGUCCAGACUCCUACGGGAGGCAGCAGUGGGGAAUAUUGCACAAUGGGCGCAAGCCUGAUGCAGCCAUGCCGCGUGUGUGAAGAAGGCCUUCGGGUUGUAAAGUACUUUCAGCGGGGAGGAAGGGAGUAAAGUUAAUACCUUUGCUCAUUGACGUUACCCGCAGAAGAAGCACCGGCUAACUCCGUG
rnacentral:rRNA from 1 species